rnacentral:rRNA from 1 species
UUUCGGGCUUCGGCUCGACUCUCCCACCCUUUGUGAACGUACCUCUGUUGCUUUGGCGGCUCCGGCCGCCAAAGGACCUUCAAACUCCAGUCAGUAAACGCAGACGUCUGAUAAACAAGUUAAUAAACUAAAACUUUCAACAACGGAUCUCUUGGUUCUGGCAUCGAUGAAGAACGCAGCGAAAUGCGAUAAGUAAUGUGAAUUGCAGAAUUCAGUGAAUCAUCGAAUCUUUGAACGCACAUUGCGCCCCUUGGUAUUCCGGGGGGCAUGCCUGUUCGAGCGUCAUUACAACCCUCAAGCUCUGCUUGGAAUUGGGCACCGUCCUCAUUGCGGACGCGCCUCAAAGACCUCGGCGGUGGCUGUUCAGCCCUCAAGCGUAGUAGAAUACACCUCGCUUUGGAGCGGCUGGCGUCGCCCGCCGGACGAACCUUCUGAACUUUUCUCAAGGUUGACCUCGGAUCAGGUAGGGAUACCCGC